UGCAAGUCGAACGAACUCUGGUAUUGAUUGGUGCUUGCAUCAUGAUUUACAUUUGAGUGAGUGGCGAACUGGUGAGUAACACGUGGGAAACCUGCCCAGAAGCGGGGGAUAACACCUGGAAACAGAUGCUAAUACCGCAUAACAACUUGGACCGCAUGGUCCGAGCUUGAAAGAUGGCUUCGGCUAUCACUUUUGGAUGGUCCCGCGGCGUAUUAGCUAGAUGGUGGGGUAACGGCUCACCAUGGCAAUGAUACGUAGCCGACCUGAGAGGGUAAUCGGCCACAUUGGGACUGAGACACGGCCCAAACUCCUACGGGAGGCAGCAGUAGGGAAUCUUCCACAAUGGACGAAAGUCUGAUGGAGCAACGCCGCGUGAGUGAAGAAGGGUUUCGGCUCGUAAAACUCUGUUGUUAAAGAAGAACAUAUCUGAGAGUAACUGUUCAGGUAUUGACGGUAUUUAACCAGAAAGCCACGGCUAACUACGUGCCAGCAGCCGCGGUAAUACGUAGGUGGCAAGCGUUGUCCGGAUUUAUUGGGCGUAAAGCGAGCGCAGGCGGUUUUUUAAGUCUGAUGUGAAAGCCUUCGGCUCAACCGAAGAAGUGCAUCGGAAACUGGGAAACUUGAGUGCAGAAGAGGACAGUGGAACUCCAUGUGUAGCGGUGAAAUGCGUAGAUAUAUGGAAGAACACCAGUGGCGAAGGCGGCUGUCUGGUCUGUAACUGACGCUGAGGCUCGAAAGUAUGGGUAGCAAACAGGAUUAGAUACCCUGGUAGUCCAUACCGUAAACGAUGAAUGCUAAGUGUUGGAGGGUUUCCGCCCUUCAGUGCUGCAGCUAACGCAUUAAGCAUUCCGCCUGGGGAGUACGGCCGAAGGCUGAAACUCAAAGGAAUUGACGGGGGCCCGCACAAGCGGUGGAGCAUGUGGUUUAAUUCGAAGCUACGCGAAGAACCUUACCAGGUCUUGACAUACUAUGCAAAUCUAAGAGAUUAGACGUUCCCUUCGGGGACAUGGAUACAGGUGGUGCAUGGUUGUCGUCAGCUCGUGUCGUGAGAUGUUGGGUUAAGUCCCGCAACGAGCGCAACCCUUAUUAUCAGUUGCCAGCAUUAAGUUGGGCACUCUGGUGAGACUGCCGGUGACAAACCGGAGGAAGGUGGGGAUGACGUCAAAUCAUCAUGCCCCUUAUGACCUGGGCUACACACGUGCUACAAUGGAUGGUACAACGAGUUGCGAACUCGCGAGAGUAAGCUAAUCUCUUAAAGCCAUUCUCAGUUCGGAUUGUAGGCUGCAACUCGCCUACAUGAAGUCGGAAUCGCUAGUAAUCGCGGAUCAGCAUGCCGCGGUGAAUACGUUCCCGGGCCUUGUACACACCGCCCGUCACACCAUGAGAGUUUGUAACACCCAAAGUCGGUGGGGUAACCUUUUAGGAAC
rnacentral:rRNA from 1 species